UACGUAGGUGGCAAGCGUUGUCCGGAUUUACUGGGCGUAAAGAGCGCGCAGGCGGUCGUGCAAGUCGCGUGUGAAAGCCCCCGGCUCAACUGGGGAGGGUCACGCGAUACUGCUCGACUUGAAGGCAGGAGAGGGAAGUGGAAUUCCCGGUGUAGCGGUGAAAUGCGUAGAUAUCAGGAGGAACACCGGUGGUGUAGACGGCUCACUGGACCGUAACUGACGCUGAGACACGAAAGCGUGGGUAGCAAACAGG
rnacentral:rRNA from 1 species